UCAUCCAGUCUCCUUACGCGCACAACCAUGCCCUUCUGUCGUGCAUCUUCACCGGCCAACGACCGCCCGAUGCCCACGCUCGCCCUUACCGCUCGCUAUAGGUGGCGCCGCCACGUCGAGCCACGCCACCAGCCAGGCUGCUCCGCCACUCGCCACCAUGACAAGACAGCACGGCUGGCCAAUUCCCUCGCUCAACAAAACGAUCCUACCCGCCGAGGAUCCCCCUCCGCUAACCGCAGCAGCUCACCCAUGCGCGCCGCGCCACCACCAGCCAACAAGCACACCCGCUCCUCUGCACUGCUAGUGGCACGCUGCCCUCCUCCUCUCGCCCAACCACAGCCCGAGCUUAUCUCCAGCGCCCUUGGC
rnacentral:lncRNA from 1 species